AUGACUCCGUUCGCCUUUUCUAUGCCGUGCGUGGCCGUGGUCGGGGCCUCUCCAUCUCUGCUCCGCAUACACGUACGUUCAGGUGGCUGCCCCCCGCCCUGCAUUUUUCCGACGGCACCUGCAGCCAGUAUGACGGGUGCGGUGGCGUGGCACCUGCCGCCAUUGAGGAUGGCGGCAGCUCGCCCAUCGGGGCUGUAUAGAAAGGACCGCCGCCCAGGAAGAAGCAAGAGACGGGCUCUUCCAGAUCUGGUGGUUCCGCCAUUGCUCGGAGCCACAUCAUCAGCCAGCCAGGUGAGCUUCUCUCGGAUCCGGAUGUCAUACCCAUCUGAAUAUACGCUAUUUCGCGCGGAAGGAAAGAUUCGGCAUGGACCUGAUGGGGUAAAAGUGAGUCCUGAUUGCCCAUUUGUGAUCAGACGGAUGACAGAGCUCAAGGAUAAGCCAUUCCAACAAGUGCGACACCUGGUAAUGAAGGUUUUUCAAUUGAAUGAAGCAACGUACGAGCUCAGUUUGCAGCACCUUGUGUAUUCAAGGACAGAUCCUGGCACUCCUCCAUGCAAUGUACUGAUUCAUAUAAUAGGGGAGGAUUCCUGGAGGACAUUUCUAAAUGUUGCAGCCCGUAAUGUUCGCGCUUUCAGACUGUUCGCCAGAUGGAAUGUCAAGAAAACAAGCUCUACUCCCAAUGCAACUGACAGCAAUAACACAACAAUUCCAGACGAAACCGAUGAAUCCGAUGAUGGGACCUGGCCAAAUUGCAAGCACGAUAGACCAUGCACCAUCGAAACUUCAAGGCGCAACGAAGACCUAGGUCGAAGGUUCUUCCGCUGCCCUCUCUUCAUGCAUUCGGGAGAAGACUGCAAAUUCAGCGAAUGGUUGGACAAGAAGUUCCCUCAGAAUGCAAUCAAAGUCAUCAACAGACUCCAGGACGACGUUGAAUCCCUCCAGCAGCAAGUCGAUAACAUGAAGUGUGAGCUUGAGGAACUCCGUCACCGUCAGAGCAAAAGAGCUACCGAAGAAGCUGUUGCAAGUGAUGGAGACAGGUGCCCCUGUGGCAGCAGCCCUUGCGACUUGGCUUCUCGCAACCGAAGCAAAGCUCCUAGAGUGGCCAAGGACAAUUAG
rnacentral:rRNA from 1 species